UGGUAGUGUAUUGGACUACCAUGGCAGUCACGGGUAACGGGGAAUUAGGGUUCGGUUCCGGAGAGGGAGCCUGAGAAACGGCUACCACAUCUAAGGAAGGCAGCAGGCGCGUAAAUUACCCAAUCCUGAUUCAGGGAGGUAGUGACAAGAAAUAACAACCUGGGGGACUUUGUCCUUACGGGAUUGCAAUGAGAACAAUUUAAAUGACUUAUCGAGGAACAAUUGGAGGGCAAGUCUGGUGCCAGCAGCCGCGGUAAUUCCAGCUCCAAUAGCGUAUAUUAAAGUUGUUGCAGUUAAAAAGCUCGUAGUUGAACUUCUGUAUAUGUCUGGUUCUGGCUUCGGUCAAGCCAUGAUGUAUACAUCCGCUUGCAAACCUAGACUGGCCUUCACUGGUCAACUAGGGGAGUAGGCCUUUUACUUUGAAAAAAUUAGAGUGUUUCAAGCAGGCAAUGGCUCGAAUACAUUAGCAUGGAAUAAUGGAAUAGGACUUUUGUCCAUUUGGUUGGUUAUUGGACAUGAGUAAUGAUUAACAGGGACAGUUGGGGGCAUUAGUAUUUAAUUGUCAGAGGUGAAAUUCUUGGAUUUAUUAAAGACUAACUUAUGCGAAAGCAUUUGCCAAGGAUGUUUUCAUUAAUCAAGAACGAAAGUUAGGGGAUCAAAGACGAUCAGA
rnacentral:rRNA from 1 species